GCCGCAUUCUCAAGGUGUGUGAAUUGUGAAGCGUCAAGAUGGUUGCUCAUGAUUUCACUGUUGAUUUAGACAAGCCUCUCGUUUUUCAGGUUGGGCAUCUUGGGGAAUCAUACCAGGAAUGGAUUCACCAGCCUAUAGUAUGCAAGGAAGGCCCUCGCUUCUUUGGCAACGAGAUCCUUGAGUUCCUGACCCGAACAGUCUGGUGGGCGG
rnacentral:misc_RNA from 1 species